rnacentral:rRNA from 1 species
AUGAAGCCGGAAUUGCUAGUAAUGGCAGGUCAGCAUACUGCCGUGAAUACGUUCCCGGGCCUUGUACACACCGCCCGUCACACCAUGAGAGUUGGGGAUACCCAAAGCCCGUGAGCCAACUGUAAAGAGGCAGCGGUCUAAGGUAGAAUCAAUGAUUGGGGUGAAGUCGUAACAAGGUAUC